rnacentral:rRNA from 1 species
ACCCGCUGAACUUAAGCAUAUCAAUAAGCGGAGGAAAAGAAACCAACAGGGAUUGCCUUAGUAACGGCGAGUGAAGCGGCAACAGCUCAAAUUUGAAAUCUGGCCUUUGGCCCGAGUUGUAAUUUGCAGAGGAUGUUUCUGGCGAGGUGCCUUCCGAGUUCCCUGGAACGGGACGCCAUAGAGGGUGAGAGCCCCGUACGGUUGGUCGCUAAGCCUAUGUGAAACUCCUUCGACGAGUCGAGUAGUUUGGGAAUGCUGCUCUAAAUGGGAGGUACACGUCUUCUAAAGCUAAAUACCGGCUAGAGACCGAUAGCGCACAAGUAGAGUGAUCGAAAGAUGAAAAGCACUUUGAAAAGAGGGUUAAAAAGUACGUGAAAUUGUUGAAAGGGAAGCGCUCAUGACCAGACUUGGGCCGGUUGAUCAUCCAUCGUUCUCGGUGGUGCACUCUGCCGGCUCAGGCCAGCAUCAGUUUGGCUCGGGGGAUAAAGACUUCGGGAAUGUGGCUCUCUUCGGGGAGUGUUAUAGCCCGUUGUGUAAUACCCUGGGCUGGACUGAGGUACGCGCUCCGCAAGGAUGCUGGCGUAAUGGUUAU